rnacentral:tRNA from 1 species
UCCCAGGUGGCUCAGAUGGUAAAGAAUCUGCCUGCAAUGCAGGAGACCCAGGUUCAAUCCCUGGAUUGGGAA